AGUGAACGCUGGCGGUAGGCCUAACACGUGCAAGUCGAACGGCAGCACAGUAAGAGCUUGCUCUUACGGGUGGCGAGUGGCGGACGGGUGAGGAAUACAUCGGAAUCUACUUUUUCGUGGGGGAUAACGUAGGGAAACUUACGCUAAUACCGCAUACGACCUACGGGUGAAAGCAGGGGAUCUUCGGACCUUGCGCGAUUAAAUGAGCCGAUGUCGGAUUAGCUAGUUGGCGGGGUAAAGGCCCACCAAGGCGACGAUCCGUAGCUGGUCUGAGAGGAUGAUCAGCCACACUGGAACUGAGACACGGUCCAGACUCCUACGGGAGGCAGCAGUGGGGAAUAUUGGACAAUGGGCGCAAGCCUGAUCCAGCCAUACCGCGUGGGUGAAGAAGGCCUUCGGGUUGUAAAGCCCUUUUGUUGGGAAAGAAAAGCAGCAGGUUAAUACCCCGCUGUUCUGACGGUACCCAAAGAAUAAGCACCGGCUAACUUCGUG
rnacentral:rRNA from 1 species